GAACCUGUGAAGAUGUUACCCUAUGUGGCAAAAGGAACUUUGCAGAUGUGAUGAAGUCAAGGAUCUUGAGAUGGGGAGAUUAUUUUGGG